UACAGAGGUGCCGAGCGUUAGGCGGAAUCACUGGGCUUAAAGCGUGUGUAGGCGGAUUUUAAGUACCUUGUGAAAGUCCCAUGGCUUAACCAUGGAACUGCUGGGUAUACCUGGAUAUCUUGAGCCAACUAGGGGCUACCGGAACAAAUGGUGGAGCGGUGAAAUGCGUAGAUAUCAUUUGGAACGCCAAUGGUGAAAACAGGUAGCUGGGGUUGUGCCGACGCUGAGACACGAAAGCCAGGGGAGCGAACGGG
rnacentral:rRNA from 1 species